rnacentral:rRNA from 1 species
CACGUAGGGCGCAAGCGUUGUCCGGAAUUAUUGGGCGUAAAGAGCUCGUAGGCGGUUUGUCGCGUCUGCUGUGAAACUCGGGGCUUAACUCCGGGCCUGCAGUGGGUACGGGCAGACUAGAGUGCGGUAGGGGAGACUGGAAUUCCUGGUGUAGCGGUGAAAUGCGCAGAUAUCGGGAAGAACACCCGUGGCGAAGGCGGCUCUCUGGGACGGUACUGACGCUGAGACGCGAAAGCGUGGGGA